rnacentral:rRNA from 1 species
AUGGCGGCGGCCGGGGAGGAGGCGGAGAGCUCCGCCGCCGCCGAAGAGCGGCCGCGCGAGCCCUUCGCCCGCGGCGGCCCGGUGUUCAUCCCCUACAUGGUGGGCCCUGUCUGCACCGUCCCCGAGUUCAUCUCCUCCACGCUCCGCGAGGUUCAGUCCCUGCGUGACGAAUUGGGCGACCCGGGGGACGAAUUCGAUGACGAGCUCUGCGUUGAUGACCUGAGGGUGCUCUCUGAGGAGGAGCUUGUGGAGCGCGCUCUCCGGGAGGCCAUGGAGGAGGGCUGGGACUGUGGCGCUCCAUCACAAUCAGCAGAUCAAAGUUCUGGCGCUCCAUCACAACCAUUGGAUCAAAGGUUAGAUGGGGGAAUGUCAGCGAGUUCCACCCCUGGAAAUGAGACUGUCACCUCAAGUGCAUCAGCUGAAACACAAAGUUCAGUAUCAGCUCCCGGUGAUAUGGCAAUUGGACUGCAUGAACCACAAGGCAGCAAUGGGAAAACAAGAGGUGGAAAGAGGAAAACCAGAGAGAGUAAUGGAAACAAUGGUGCCCUCACCUCAGAUUCAACAGCUGAAAGGGAGACAUCUGGAUCACCUGUUGAGUUGGCGAUUGUACCACAUGAACCAGAAGGAAGCAAGGGGAAACCCAGAGGCAGAAAGGGUAAAAAUGGAACCUCUUCAACUCCAUCAAUUGAAAGUGAAACACCUGUAUUGCCUAGUGAGGAUAUGUCAGUUGUUCCUCAUGAUCCAGAAGGCACAGAUGGUCAAACAGAACGUAAAAAGGGCAAAAAGAGAGGCAGGCAUUUUGAUCGGGAAGUUCGAGCGCAUAUUUUACAGGGGAGUUAUCUUACUAAAGCAGAGAAGAUGUCAGAGAUCAUGGUAAAGCAAGAAGAUGACAAACAUGCAGCAAGGCUGCACUCAUUCAGUGGUGAUUCUGCGAUGUCCAAAGGCUCUAAGGCAUCAGCGGAGAAAAUUGACUUGGCAAAAUCUCUUAAAUACAACAGUGCCCACAGUGCCCCUUGGAAGAACAAAGGUUCGAAAUCUGACGAAUACAUACCUAUAGUUUAUCCAGAAGCAAUUCUUUGUGUCGAAAUUUAUGAGCGCAGGCAUGGCUCAGUGAAAAAUCAGGAAUUUCUUGUGUUGGGGAGCCAGCUCCUCACAGAUCUGAAGGACAAUAUUUACUGUUCGACUAAUAAGUUGAUGGAAUUGAACAAGCUACAAAAUCAUUCUGGCUAUUUUCUUAUUGAGGACACGUUCUACAAUGACACGAGACAUUAUUCUGCGGUUGAUUACAGUAAGCCUAUACUUGACUGGCUUGACAAUUCCAGUGAUGAGGUGGCAGAGAAGUGGGACGCCAUUAGUUCUGGCGUGUUAAAGAAACGACAAAAGGACUUAUUGAAGGGCUUGAAUAUUUCGAAUGUGCCCGAGUUUAAAUCUGCGAACAUGCAAAGUACCUACUUUUCAGACCUGCACUUCCGGCUUGGUGCUGGGUACCUCUACUGCCACCAGGGGAACUGCAAGCACACGUUCGUGAUUAGAGACAUGAGGCUGAUCCACCCGGAGGACACGCAGAACCAAGCGGAGUACCCUCUCAUGACGUUCCACAUGCAGAGGCGUUUCCAGAAGUGUUCAGUGUGCCAGAUCUACCUCGCGACAAAGAUGACGGUGGACGAUAAAUGGGCUCCCAAUAAUCCCUGCUAUUUCUGCAAGCAGUGCUACUACCUCCUCCACUACAAGGAGGACGACUCGCUGUUAUACCAUCAUACCGUGUAUGAUUACUUCCAAGAGUAG